CAGCAGCCGCGGUAAUACGUAGGGUGCAAGCGUUAAUCGGAAUUACUGGGCGUAAAGCGUGCGCAGGCGGUUGUGUAAGACAGAGGUGAAAUCCCCGGGCUCAACCUGGGAACUGCCUUUGUGACUGCAAGGCUAGAGUACGGCAGAGGGGGAUGGAAUUCCGCGUGUAGCAGUGAAAUGCGUAGAUAUGCGGAGGAACACCGAUGGCGAAGGCAAUCCCCUGGGCCUGUACUGACGCUCAUGCACGAAAGCGUGGGGAGCAAACAGGAUUAGAUACCCGUGUAGUCCCUGUCUCUUAUAC
rnacentral:rRNA from 1 species